GAUGAACGCUGGCGGCGUGCCUAAUACAUGCAAGUCGAGCGAACAGACGAGGAGCUUGCUCCUCUGACGUUAGCGGCGGACGGGUGAGUAACACGUGGAUAACCUACCUAUAAGACUGGGAUAACUUCGGGAAACCGGAGCUAAUACCGGGUAAUAUAUUGAACCGCAUGGUUCAAUAGUGAAAGACGGUUUUGCUGUCACUUAUAGAUGGAUCCGCGCCGCAUUAGCUAGUUGGUAAGGUAACGGCUUACCAAGGCAACGAUGCGUAGCCGACCUGAGAGGGUGAUCGGCCACACUGGAACUGAGACACGGUCCAGACUCCUACGGGAGGCAGCAGUAGGGAAUCUACCGCAAUGGGCGAAAGCCUGACGGAGCAACGCCGCGUGAGUGAUGAAGGUCUUCGGAUCGUAAAACUCUGUUAUUAGGGAAGAACAAAUGUGUAAGUAACUAUGCACGUCUUGACGGUACCUAAUCAGAAAGCCACGGCUAACUACGUG
rnacentral:rRNA from 1 species